AGCAGCCGCGGUAAUUCCAGCUCCAAUAGCGUAUAUUAAAGUUGCUGCAGUUAAAAAGCUCGUAGUUGAAUUUCGGGACCAUCAUGCCGGUCGUGCCUCGGUACGUACUGGCAUUGUUGGUUUCUACCUUCUGACGAACCAUGAUGUCAUUAAUUUGGUGUACGUGGAGAAUCAGGACUGUUACUUUGAAAAAUUGAGUGUUUAAAGCAGGCUAACGCUUGAAUACAUUAGCAUGGAAUAAUGAAAUAGGACGUUUGAUCCUAUUUUGUUGGUUUCUAGGAUCGACGUAAUGAUUAAUAGGGAUAGUUGGGGGCAUUAGUAUUCAAUUGUCAGAGGUGAAAUUCUUGGA
rnacentral:rRNA from 1 species